UUAAUUGAAACCAAAAAGAGGUAUACCACUGUUAAUGGCAUCAUUGAGAAAUUCUCCAAUUAAA
rnacentral:tRNA from 1 species